rnacentral:rRNA from 1 species
UAUAUCCGGUUUGACCUCGGAUCAGGUAGGAGUACCCGCUGAACUUAAGCAUAUCAAUAAGCGGAGGAAAAGAAACCAACAGGGAUUGCCUCAGUAACGGCGAGUGAAGCGGCAAAAGCUCAAAUUUGAAAUCUGGCUCCAUGCGGAGCCCGAGUUGUAAUUUGGAGAGGACACUUCGGGUGCGGCCACGGCAUAAGUUCCUUGGAACAGGAC